GGCGAUGCUAUCGACAACCCAUGUGUGCUUGAACCCCCAGGAUUGAUCUCCACUCUCCCCGACCCCGCCGCCGCCCGCGCCGGCGGUUCCGCCAUCGCCUUUCCCACAGCGUGCCCACGGCUCACAACCGUCGCCGCGCUGCCCUCCUCCGCCCACGCCAUGCUAGGGUCUUCCAGGCAACAGAUGCGCCAGGGAUGGGGCCGUUGAGCGCCAUGCCAAGUGCCGACGUGUGGAUUCCUUGGGGUGACCUCUCCGAUUAUUUGACAGCCACCCAGGCCACCGUCCGAGAAUCUUUGGUCUAGCUCUGAAUGUCCUGCACACAGGAGCACGUCUGAGGGGUUGCAGGGACAAUAUCCACUGAUCAAACACUGGAAUGCAGGAUUUUGCUGAUGGUGAACAGGAUUGAUGCACAGAUUUGGCUUUGUGGUUGAGGAAAAGGCUAGCUUUUUGCGGGUAAUAGGUGAUGAGGGAGCUGGCAGUAAGGGAUCGAAGGCUCAAUGAAGGAGCAAUGGGUAGGGGUGUAGGACAGUGGGUGCAGGUGUGGUGCCUUCCUGCCAUUCUGCUUCCUUCCAGAUUUCUAGCUUUCCUCUCACCUAAUCGCGGCCAGGCGGGCUGGACAUGGGCCGUGCUACUGCUACGGGCUCAAUGGAUGGGACUCUGGCCUUUCUGGCUCCGACACAUCCAUCAUCUCUCUCCUCGAGUCCUAGGCCACUGGGCGAACCUGAAGAUCCCUUCUAUGCCAUUUUCUGAAAACUAAAAUUCAAGAUUUUGACAAGUGCACAAAUUUUGUCCAAUGCAGACAAGAACCGAUGAGAACACUGUACAAUGUCUAUAGCAGGGUGAAAAUUAAGAGGCUGAUCAUGGAAGACAUCGAAGACUUUUGCGAUGUGGGUUUGACAUGAUCAUUAAGAUUUUUACAACUGCAUAAAUUUUGUCCAAUGCAGAUGAGAACCGAUGAGAACACUGUAGUAUGUCUAUAGCCAGGUGAAAAAAGAAACACAUCGAAGACUUUUGCUAACCAUAUGAUAUUAUGCCACCAUAGAGUGCUGAAGUUGCAACCUGUAAGAACAAAAUGGAACCUGCUGCUUCUCUGGGAAUGGAACAUGUAAAUGUAAUAUUGAACUUUUGCGGCAGCGGUGGCGAAAGCACUUGGGGAUUCAGGCGUUGAUAGAACAGUAUGUGCUCGGCACAAUGUUCAGAGGACGCUGCCGGUUACUGAAUCUAAUUCUGAAUAUUAUGUUUCUCGUUGUUCUAAGGCGUGUGAUUCAGUAGCUGAUGCACUAGCAGCUAUGGCCCUCUGCUGUGGCAAGGUCAUGUACCUGAUUCGAUCUGUUGCUUUGAUGGUGCCGGGCGAUUCGAUUGGACCACAUGUUUAAUGGAAUGUUGAUUCCAUCUCAAAAAAGUG